rnacentral:lncRNA from 1 species
GUUAACUUGUUCUUUAUAUGUAUAUUCUAUUGUGACGGUAGCAAUCAUGAUAACACUGAUACAUUGUUACCUUAUUCUAUGGUGAAAAGCUUAAUUUUAGGGGGGGAAAACUGAUACAUUGUUAGCUUGCAGAGUAUUAGCAAUCAUGAUACUACAUCCAAAAAGCAUCAGCCUGUUGCUAAUGAAAAGAAGAUGAAUUUGCUAGCCACUGUAGUUCCAAAGAAAGAAAUGGGAGGCUGGAAGCCAGUGAAAAGAGAGAGAGUAACUUUUUCAGACAGAAAAUCUGAGAAGGUGCACAAGGAAAAUGAACCAUACACUGAAAAGUAUCCACAGGUCAGAAGAGACUGUGCAAUUGUCAUUGAAUCUGAUGAGGAUACUGAUGCAGGGUUUUCCUGCUUGGUUGGAAAAAAUGCAGGAAAAGACCUAUUCGGGAAAUUGACGACGGAAGAAGAGGAAGAAGCUCAGUCGAUUUUGCAAAAAGCAAGGAGACGCAAGAGAAGGCAUUCUAACGCUAUGCCUAUAAUAAUCCUCUGAAGAAGGUACAACUUGAUAUUUUCAGAUGCCGAGUCCUAUGAGCUUUGUUUAGCGCAUAUGAGAAAUUUGUUUGUUCAUUACACUUUGGUCACAAUCUUAUGUAUGUUUUAUUGUUUAUUUUUCUGAUCUACACAUAUAAAUUUACCUAAUUUGGGUUUUUGCUUUUUCGAAAGUACUUUACUAAUUUGAAUUUUAAAG